rnacentral:rRNA from 1 species
GACGCACGCUGGCGGCGUGCUUAACACAUGCAAGUCGAACGGAAAGGCCCUGCUUUUGUGGGGUGCUCGAGUGGCGAACGGGUGAGUAACACGUGAGUAACCUGCCCUUGACUUUGGGAUAACUUCAGGAAACUGGGGCUAAUACCGGAUAGGAGCUCCUGCUGCAUGGUGGGGGUUGGAAAGUUUCGGCGGUUGGGGAUGGACUCGCGGCUUAUCAGCUUGUUGGUGGGGUAGUGGCUUACCAAGGCUUUGACGGGUAGCCGGCCCGAGAGGGUGACCGGCCACAUUGGGACUGAGAUACGGCCCAGACUCCUACGGGAGGCAGCAGUGGGGAAUAUUGCACAAUGGGCGGAAGCCUGAUGCAGCAACGCCGCGUGCGGGAUGACGGCCUUCGGGUUGUAAACCGCUUUCGCCUGUGACGAAGCGUGAGUGACGGUAAUGGGUAAAGAAGCACCGGCUAACUACGUG